rnacentral:tRNA from 1 species
GUGGGUGUAGCUCAGUUGGCAGAGCACCUGGUUGUGGCCCAGGUUGUCGCGCGUUCAAUCCGCGUCACUCACCCCA